rnacentral:lncRNA from 1 species
AGGGGAGUCCCCGCACCAGGUUGAGACGACUUUCCUUCCUCAGCUUCCCCGCCCUCUCUCUCCGAAUUCUUGAAUUCUUCAGCCCGGGCCGCCGCUGCCCUCCUGGUCCCUCCGGGCCGCACGCGCGGCAGGGAGCGAGCAGCAUCCGGUCCCUUCCGGAGCGCGCAGGCGGCGCCUUCUCAGCGUGCGCCCGGGGUGGGUCGACAGCGACCGGGACGGGAGGCGGGAGCGUUCCCGGAGGCUGCGGAGAGCCCCGCUUUGUCUCAAGGGACCGCUGGGAAGUUUCCUCCUUUUCCCGCCCGCAUCCCUCUCCUUCCAGGUGCUCCAGGAAGUCGCCGGAGCUGAAGGUGAAGAAACUGAGGCCCAGAAAGGUGCUAGCAGCAAUAGUGAUGAGACAGAGACAAAAAAUCAAGAAGAAAGCCAAGCUUCUUAAUUGCCCUGCCUAAGCUACUCAGAUGGCAUAUUAGCUCCCUGGUUGCUGCUUGAUUCAAGCUCUGUGGAAGUUGAGGGCAUUCUGGCUUCGUUGAUGUGUUCCCUGUGGACCACAAGGACUUCACCUGCAAUUCAUUAUCUUGUAUAAAAAAUACUCCUCUACGAGAGAGAUCCAGACGUUAACAAGUUGUGACAACUUAUUUUUUUAUGUUAACAUUUAUUGAAGGCUUUCUUUGUACCUGAUGCUGAGCUAAGAGUUUUAUAUGUAUCAUCUCAGUUAUUCUUCACAGCAGCCCUAUGAUGUGGGUUUUAUUAUCCCCAUAUACAGGUGGAGAAACUGAGACUUAGGGAAGUUCUGUAAGUUUCUGACCAUUACACAGUGAGUGAUUAGUAAAGUUGGAAUUGGCAGCCCAUUCAUUUAAUCCUCACAUGUGAAAGCCUCAUAUCUUAAGAAUGUAAGAGUAAUAAUGUAAUUAAUGCUAACCUUAAAUUUCAUUUCAGAUUAAAAAUAUUUAUAUUUUAGAAGAGUGGGGUUAGGUUGUUAUAUAUAUGUUAUAUAUGUAUACUAUGAAAGAUCUUAAUUUUUUAAAAUAAAAAAUAUUAAAAGU